CCUACGGGUGGCAGCAGUGGGGAAUAUUGGACAAUGGGGGCAACCCUGAACCAGCCAUGCCGCGUGUGUGAAGAAGGCCCUCGGGUUGUAAAGCACUUUCAGUGAGGAAGAACGCCUGGUGGUUAAUACCCAUCAGGAAAGACAUCACUCACAGAAGAAGCACCGGCUAACUCCGUGCCAGCAGCCGCGGUAAUACGGAGGGUGCGAGCGUUAAUCGGAAUUACUGGGCGUAAAGCGCGCGUAGGUGGCUUGAUAAGCCGGUUGUGAAAGCCCCGGGCUCAACCUGGGAACGGCAUCCGGAACUGUCAAGCUAGAGUGCAGGAGAGGAAGGUAGAAUUCCCGGUGUAGCGGUGAAAUGCGUAGAGAUCGGGAGGAAUACCAGUGGCGAAGGCGGCCUUCUGGACUGACACUGACACUGAGGUGCGAAAGCGUGGGUAGCAAACAGGAUUAGAUACCCUAGUAGUC
rnacentral:rRNA from 1 species